CGUACUCUUACCAGUGAGGUUCCUGUAAAUGGCCUGGCCGAGGCUGACAGACUGACCCUGGGUGUCGUGAGGGUUUGGGGUAUAACAAGCAGUGUCACUCAGGUUACCAUGAAAGUGAAUGGAAAACCUGAUGCCAACUUGGGAUUCACAUAUAACUCUGAGGAGCUGUAUUUUGACACAACAUCACAAUCUCACACCAUCGAAACACCUUUCACUAUCACCUGGACCACAGGAUAGAUAUGGACACAAGUCUACGGAGACGGACUUGACCCAAGAGCAAUCGCAUGAUUAUUUACCUUUAUUUAUGAAUGUUCAGUCAACUAGUAAUUUAUUUAGCAUUUCUGCUGGAGGCUUUUUAUGGAUAUCGUCUGGACUUAAAAUAUGAAAUUAUUUCUUCUAAAAUAAACGUUUGACGUUGUUUUUGGUUUGGAUCUGAUUUUAAAAACUAUUAGUGGUUGUGCAAGUUCAGGCCGAACUUGGAAGGCUGGAUCUGUAAUGCCGGCAUUUGGGGAAGUGGAAAUAUAAUGAUAACCCUUAAUUAUCGACAAUCACAGCUUUUUAACGAGAAAACCUCUUAGCGGCGGCUACCUGCCGGGCGUUCUUCACGCAUGAGUACAGUUUGAAGUAAUGAUACAAUAAUCAAUUAUUCAUUCUACAGUAAACAUAAUGAUAUCAAUUAAGCAAUGGAGACUUCUAAAUUGAUUUCUGCUCUAAUUGGCAAUCAUUGCGAGCUGGAGAGAUGGACGCCGCAGGGAAGAGGGCGGGAAGGGAGUGCCUCCGAUAUUUAGACGCUAGCCAAAAACAAUGAUAAUUGAGGAGCUUUUUUUAUCCGAGUGUGAAACAGGAUGGAGCCGUUCUGACUGAGAGUUUAAUUAUUUGGGUUUUCUAUUAUGUGAAAGGGGUUUAUCUAGAGCUUGUAUUUAAUUAGCGAAGAACAAGUCCUGCUUUCCGUGGUUUUUACAAGAAAAAGAGCAGUUUUCCUUCUCUAGUCAGGCAGUGAGGAAACAUACAAUUAUUCAUGGAGUUUAUACAAAGUUUCAAACUUCUGUCAGCUCUGCCUGAGUUGGUUGUGUUAAUUUUACCAUUAGAAGUUCAACGCUGUCCAUUAAGUGAUAUAUGAAAGAAUAAUACAGCUGUAACGUGGAGAAAGAUUUUAAAACUGCAAUAAACUGAUUUAUACCUCAGGAAGCCUGUGACUGAUUUGACUUGCUGAUUUUAUGGUAAUAUUUGCUUCUUUCUUUUGUUUCUUUCCUGUAUGCAAGCAAUCCAGACAUCAGUCAGAAGUCAGGUGCAUUAAAACAAUCAAUCUGAUUCAAAUAAAUCAAAAACAGACAGAGAAUGUAGUCUUGAUUUAACCAACCCUCCAAACAAAGACUGGGAUUGAGAGGAAAGUACUCAUGGGGGAGCAAAAAAAAUAAUAAAAAAAUAGAGGGUAACAACAAAAAGACGACAUGAAAGAUCAAACGCACACUCAAGUGACUUCAAAGCAUCGACAUGUGAUUGUGAGUGUUUGUGACGUUUGUAUGCUGGAAUACAUUACACAAAACAUGGGUUAGGGACAAAAGUGCAAAGAAACAUUGACGCG
rnacentral:lncRNA from 1 species